rnacentral:tRNA from 1 species
GCGCCCAUAGCUCAACUGGAUAGAGCGUUUGCCUACGAAGCAAAAGGUCGCAGGUUCGAGUCCUGCUGGGCGCA